AAUCGGAAUUACUGGGCGUAAAGCGAGUGUAGGUGGCUCAUUAAGUCACAUGUGAAAUCCCCGGGCUUAACCUGGGAACUGCAUGUGAUACUGGUGGUGCUAGAAUAUGUGAGAGGGAAGUAGAAUUCCAGGUGUAGCGGUGAAAUGCGUAGAGAUCUGGAGGAAUACCGAUGGCGAAGGCAGCUUCCUGGCAUAAUAUUGACACUGAGAUUCGAAAGCGUGGGUAGCAAACAGGAUUAGAUACCCUGGUAGUCCACGCCGUAAACGAUGUCUACUAGCCGUUGGGUCCUUGAGACUUUAGUGGCGCAGUUAACGCGAUAAGUAGACCGCCUGGGGAGUACGGCCGCAAGGUUAAAACUCAAAUGAACUGACGGGGGCCCGCACAAGCGGUGGAGCAUGUGGUUUAAUUCGAUGCAACGCGAAGAACCCUACCUGGUCUUGACAUAGUGAGAAUCUCUCAGAGAUGAGAGAGUGCCUUCGGGAACUCACAUACAGGUGCUGCAUGGCUGUCGUCAGCUCGUGUCGUGAGAUGUUGGGUUAAGUCCCGCAACGAGCGCAACCCUUUUCCUUAUUUGCCAGCGGGUUAAGCCGGGAACUUUAAGGAUACUGCCAGUGACAAACUGGAGGAAGGCGGG
rnacentral:rRNA from 1 species